UUAUAAAAUAUGAGAUUGCCUUUCUCAAGGUUAUGAAAAGCUAGUUUACCAAGUUUUAAAAGGAAUUCCUUCCCAGAUUUAGUGCAUUCCUUAAGCUUGAUUUUAUGUUUUUCAAUAUACUUGUCAUUUUUUAAACUUGCCUGAAAGAUCAGGAAGUGUGUGUACAUUUCAGUCAGAGUCCUUGGAAUUUCUCCACUGUCAGACUCACUAAACAGACUCUGAAGAACAGUGGCUGAAAUCCAGCAGAACACAGGUAUGUGGCACAUGAUGAAGAGGCUCCUUGAUGAUUUCACAUGUGUGAUAAUCCUGCUGGCCAGGCUCUGAUCACUAAACCUCUUCCUGAAAUACUCCUCCUUCUGGGCAUCACUGAACCCUCGUAUCUCUGUCACCUGGUGGACACACUCAGGAGGUAUCUGAUUGGCUGCUGCUGGCCGGGAGGUUAUCCAGAGGAGAGCGGAUGGAAGCAGAUUCCCCUUAAUGAGGUUAGUCAACAGCACAUCCAGUGACAUUUUCUUUGUUACAUCAAACCAGCUCUCAUUGUUCUGAAAAUCUAGAGGAAGGCGACACUCAUCCAGACCAUCAAAGAUCAACAAAACU